CACGCCAGAGCGAGCGCUCGCACGUGUGGAACGGCCAAGUCCAAACUUCCAAACAAAAUGGCGGACUUCCUGUGUCUUUCCCCGCAUGGCUUCUUCAGACUUUUUUGUGUCUCCCUUCAUGAUAGACAUGCCUACUGACGGCCUUUAGGAAAAAAAAUACUUCCAAGUUCAUUCUUUAAAGAAAGAUUUUUGACUUUUUCAAAGCUUCCUGAGACUUAUCUGUUAAUGGACACGUGACCACUUUUCAUGCUGCAAAGGGAAUCUCCCCCCCCCCACCCCC